AAAAAGGUUGAGAAACACUGAUCUAGAAGCUUAAGCCAGGAAAUUAAAAGAGGUUUGAAACAGAAGUAUGAUGGGUAUACUGUUGUCAGGAAGUAAAGGUUGAGAUGAGUUCAGCCACUUUUUUAUUAACAGAAACUAAAUGGAAGCUUUGUUUAAACUAGAUCUGCAAAGCUACAAGGAGGAGAUAUUUGAGCUGAUAUCAGAGAUACCACAAUGUUUAUUGUCCCAUUAUACAGCAAGUUUAAGGCCUGUACUGGUACCUGAUUGAAAUUUGGAUUUAACUGUCUGAUGUAGUUCAUUAUUCCAAAAUGUUUCCAUAUUUUCCUGACUCUGGCAGACUCUAUUUUCUCAGUCUUGAAGGAAGAGAUUUGGUCAACAUUUAACAGGGAAAGAAUGAGGAUUGCAAACAGCAGGAAAACAUUCAGGCCAUGUUGAUGUUAUGACAGCUUAGCUAAAUAGAAAAUCCAUUAAAUUGUUGUUUCAUCAGUGUGCUUAAUAUUCAUUGUGGCUUUGAUUAGAUGUUAGAAACACAAUUAGCUCUCUGGCCAGGAGAUUAAAUGGUGUUGUUUGUGUUGGGAUUGUCCAGGUUACAGCUGGGACAUGGUGCAUGCCAUGGAGGAGAAGAGCAGAGAUCUGAAACAUCCUGUCACCUUCCCGGUUCGUGCUGCGCUGCUGGCUCAGUCCUUCUCCCAGCUAUCUUGGCUGCUGCAACAGUCAGACAGGUACACGCUCACAGUGUGGACAGGCCAACAUGAUGAAUUUGCUCCACAGGACUUAAAACUAUACAGAAAAAGUUUUGAUGUGAGCAGAAUCUAUUAUGACCUGCCGAACUCUCAAAUAACAGAACUCUUGGUGAUGUCAUGACUGCCGUUUCCUAAACCUCACAACAGACUGCCUGCUGCUCUGUACAGAUUGGGAGAGGGAAGAUACAUUUGUCUUUGCUCACAUUAUAUGAAAUAAAAAUUAUAAAAAUUAUGGACAACACUGUAGUGUUGAAGGGCAAUCUACAACAUUAGAUUGUUGUAGAAAGAAGCAUUAUUAAACUAGUUACACAGGGAUAUCUGUCAGCCUUUUUCCAGAGCAAAUCCUGUUUUGCUCUGGAAAAGGUGUUGCAUAAUCCUCCUAAACUGGGUAUUUUUCAUUAAAAUUU